rnacentral:rRNA from 1 species
AUAUCAGAAGGCACACCCGGAGAACUGAAACAUCUUAGUACCCGGAGGAAGAGAAAGAAAAUUCGAUUCCCUUAGUAGCGGCGAGCGAAACGGGAAGAGCCCAAACCAACAAGCUUGCUUGUUGGGGUUGUAGGACACUCUAUACGGAGUUACAAAGGACGACAUUAGACGAAUCAUCUGGAAAGAUGAAUCAAAGAAGGUAAUAAUCCUGUAGUCGAAAAUGUUGUCUCUCUUGAGUGGAUCCUGAGUACGACGGAGCACGUGAAAUUCCGUCGGAAUCUGGGAGGACCAUCUCCUAAGGCUAA